ensembl:snRNA U7 U7 small nuclear RNA
AAGGGUUACAGCUCUUUUAAAAUUUGUCUAGCAAGUUUUCCAGUUUUCACUGGGAACUAUUCCC